GAGGGCCAGCCCUGUGGGCCAGGUGGCUGGGAGGAGGCUGGAGCUCAGCAGGAACCCUGGGAGGCAGACUUCCAAAGGGAGGCAGCGGCUCAUUCAGAGUGGCUUCGCAGAGCAGUUGUGAAUAUUUUUAUACGAGAUGCAUAAACAUUGAAGCACCUUGUAAAGUGAAAAAGAUUGGCCAACGAUAUGGAAUCAUUAUAGGGCAGCAGUUAAGAGCACAAGAACUGUAGCCAGCGUGUCUGGAAUGGAAUCCCAACUUUACCAGUUACUAGCUGUGCAGCCUUGGCCACCCAGGUGAAAGGCCACUCCCUGGCCCAGGAGCCCCCCACCCCCACCCCAAGGCUUCAAGCACCUGGCCUCCUCACUCAGGACCGCCUGCUGGUCAGGGAGCUCAGGAUCCUUCUCCUCCUACGGUUCCUUUGUUAACCCCUCAUGCUGCACUGCAGGGGGGCAGAGGUUACGAUUUGCCCAUUGCUGUCAGAACCGGACAAGUGACCCAGCAGAAAUAUGCAGGAGACACAGGCAGACAAGCCAGCAAGAAGCAGGGACCUUCGUGAGGCCGAGAAAAAAAGCACAGGCAGGGCCUAGUGAUGGAGGUGUCCAGGGGCUGCGGGCAACCCACUCACAUUCUGUUUAUGCCGGAGGAGGGCUUCCUGGAGGAAGUGGUGGACGCUGGGGCAACACGGUGAGCCCAGCCGAGCAAGGAAGAUGUGAGCCUUUCCAGCCUCUCAGGAAGUCCUGCCAUUUACUAGUCGUUGCCCCUGGGAAAGACCUUAACCCCUCCCUGCCUCAGUCCAUCUGCUAAAGGGGGUAAGAGCAUCCACUUCCUCAGGCAGGUGGGAGGAUCUCAUGAAACCAGGCCUGUAAAGCAGCACACGCCCCUUAGUGAGGGUUCAAAGGAUGUAGCUGCCACUGUUGUUACAGCCUCUCCCAUCUCCCGGUCUUAGUCUAUCCAUCCCCUCUCCCCGCCCCUCCACCUCCUUCCCAGCAUCUCAUUGCCACCAACACUUUUACAGCCUUCCCUCCAGUAAACUCCGGCUCUCUCCUGGGAGGCAUUACCGAGAAGCAGGACUUACUGUGGAAUUGUGUAAAGAGCCACCACAAACCUGAAGCCCUGGUGUUAGGGCCCAGCCCACCCCUGCUAGAGCAGUGUGUCCAGAGGCCACGGGGAAGAGGGGUGUGGGUGACAGGAAAGACAUAUGUCCUGGUGGGCAGGGUCUGGAGGUUCCUCAGCUUCAAGAACACGACCUUUGCUGUCGGUAGCGUUGUUUCACAAAGGGCCAGACCAAGCAGCCUCCCGUAUCCCCAGAAGACCCAACAAGAGUCAGUGGAUUAAAUUAAAGCAGCAGAGAUUUGAGUGGGAUACAAGGAAGGCUGUCCUGAUAGCCUGGGAUAACACGCAGGAGAGGCCGAGGGUAGCAGGCUGAGCUGCCCUGUCCCGGGAGGGAGGCCUGGACUGGGUCAGGUCCGAGGGCCGACGCAGGGAAGCUGGUCCACUGAAUAAACCGGGGGCAGGAGGGUGGGUCAUUUCGUCUCUCCUAGCCUAGAAUUCAAUAAUUUCCUUUCGGUGUGAUACCUAAAUUUCCUUUACCUUAAAGAAAAAAACAAUCUAUAUGCGCUUGAAUGUGGCCUUCAGCAAAGGCCCUCACAGACAGGGGCCCCCACCCUCACCUUCCAAGCUUCCUGAAGGCACGUUUUGGCUAAGAAACAAAGUUCGAGGUGUGAAACCCAACUGUCGAUACAGUCACUCUCCGCAGUCAGGCAGAAUUAAUUGUGUGAACACCAUUGAUCAGACCACUUAAUACUUACAGGGGCUGAGAAGCAGCUGAAACGUAAUUUCAUUACCAACCUGCUCACCCCUAAUGAAACUCCUAAUAACUCUCUAAUUUUUCUUUCAGAU
rnacentral:lncRNA from 1 species